rnacentral:rRNA from 1 species
GAUGAACGCUAGCGGAGGCUUAAACAUGCAAGUCGAGGGGUAGAAUUAGCUUGCUAAUUUGAGACCGGCGCACGGGUGCGUAACGCGUAUGCAAUCUACCUUGUACAGGGGAUAGCCCAGAGAAAUUUGGAUUAAUACCCCAUGGUAUAAUUAAUUUGCAUGAAUUGAUUAUUAAAGUUCCAACGGUACAAGAUGAGCAUGCGUCCCAUUAGCUAGUUGGUGUGGUAACGGCAUACCAAGGCGACGAUGGGUAGGGGUCCUGAGAGGGAGAUCCCCCACACUGGUACUGAGACACGGACCAGACUCCUACGGGAGGCAGCAGUGAGGAAUAUUGGUCAAUGGUCGGAAGACUGAACCAGCCAUGCCGCGUGCAGGAAGAAGCAUCUAUGGUGUGUAAACUGCUUUUGUACGGGAAGAAACACUCCUUCGUGAAGGAGCUUGACGGUACCGUAAGAAUAAGGAUCGGCUAACUCCGUG